rnacentral:rRNA from 1 species
GACGAACGCUGGCGGCGUGCUUAACACAUGCAAGUCGAACGGAAAGGCUCCAGCUUGCUGGCGUACUCGAGUGGCGAACGGGUGAGUAACACGUGGGUAAUCUGCCCUGCACUCUGGGAUAAGCCUGGGAAACUGGGUCUAAUACUGGAUAUGACCUUUCUCCUUAUGGGGUUUGGUGGAAAGUUUUUCGGUGUAGGAUGAGCCCGCGGCCUAUCAGCUUGUUGGUGGGGUGAUGGCCUACCAAGGCGACGACGGGUAGCCGGCCUGGGAGGGUGAUCGGCCACAUUGGGACUGAGAUACGGCCCAGACUCCUACGGGAGGCAGCAGUGGGGAAUAUUGCACAAUGGGCGGAAGCCUGAUGCAGCGACGCCGCGUGAGGGAUGACGGCCUUCGGGUUGUAAACCUCUUUCAGCAGGGACGAAGCGUAAGUGACGGUACCUGCAGAAGAAGCACCGGCUAACUACGUG